rnacentral:rRNA from 1 species
GACGAACGCUGGCGGCGUGCUUAACACAUGCAAGUCGAGCGGUAAGGCCCUUUCGGGGUACGACGAGCGGCGAACGGGUGAGUAACACGUGGGUGACCUGCCCUCAGCUCUGGGAUAAGCCUGGGAAACCGGGUACUAAUACCGGAUAUGACUCCAUGACGCAUGUUGUGGGGUGGAAAGCCUUGUGCGGCUGAGGAUGGGCCCGCGGCCUAUCAGCUUGUUGGUGGGGUGAUGGCCUACCAAGGCGACGACGGGUAG